GUAGUCUAUUUUAAUAAUUAAGUAAUUUUUAGUUUUCACUCUUUCACUCUUUAAUGCAAAAGAUAGGCCUUAAAAUCGUGGCUGUGGACUGCAAUGUUUGUGGGCGCCGACCAAAAUGGAUUUAAGCAUUUUUAAGUGUUUUGCAGCCGUAAAAUGUUUAUUUAGCAUUUAAAAAAGUAUUUGCUGCGGGGCACGUUUAUGGGACGUUAAAAAAAGGGCAUCGUCAGAGGGGCAGGAGAAGGAGAAGGCAUCUGCGGCCUUGUCAGAAUCAUGCCCCAUGAGCCGCGGGAGCAAACAGACAAACAAAGUGCCUGAAAUUUAUUUAAAAACCCAUUUAACAGGCCGCCCCAGUGGGGGACCUUCGAGGCAAUGGCGAUGCCCUAAGCCCACAUCAAACAAAAAGCGGAAAAAUCGGAGCUGGGGACGGAAACUGUCGCCAGGGGGCGCCACAUCAAAUGGUCAAUUAAAUUUCUGGGCAUUUCAUCAAUGUCGCCAUUGUCAGAAUUUCUGGGAAACGCAUUUUUUAUUUAUACGAACAAUUUGUUAUAUUGUUGCGGCAGCUAUUUUGUAGUACGGGGUAUAUGGGGAUUACUUAAACGCUAAUGAUCUUGAUGUUUCUUAAGUAGAAUUCAGGCCCGUUUCUGGAAUUUGAAUAUGUUUAAAGUAAAUUUCAUUUAUCUUAUUUCUGAAUUUCGCAUCUAUAUUUCUUUGCAAAAUUAUGGAACCUUAGGUGUUUACUUUGGGUGCUACAAUAUUCCACGCAUUUAGCUAAGUUUGCUAUUUGAAUGUUUCCAUUUCAUUAAAUAAACCCAUUAAAAUAACUAGCAUUUGAAUACUUAGAUAAUUACUACUUAGCGCAGUCUUGUGAUGUCCUCCAUGCCAUUAACCCUCUGUAAUAAUAAGAAAUACUUGAGCAUUACUUAUCUGGAUUAUUUGGCAGUAUUGGCACUUAACGAAAACUCCCACUUAAAGCGAUUGCGAAUCUAAUGCUAAUGCAGCCAACGUCAUUAGGGCGCGGUUUGAUGGUAUUCAUUUGGAGCGUAGUCCUUGGUGGAAACAAUUUGCGUGUCGAAACUGGGAAAUCGUUGAAUUCGCAGCCAGAUGCCCUGCAUCCCUUGUGGAAAUUAUUUUAAUUUUUCACGCAACCGAAGAGCGGAAAUUCCAAUUAAAACGCAUCAGCGCAUUGAGAUACUCCGCAUUCGGCAUCUGCAUCUGCAUCCGCAUCCGCAUCCGCAUAUGGCAUCCGCAUAUCGCAUCCGAAUCCGAAAGAGAAACAGAAUCAGAGUCAGGAUCCGAAUCCAAAGCCAAACAAGGAUGGCGUUGAGCAUUUUUUCUGACUGAUUUUCCAUUUAUUUGCGUAAAUUAAAAACAAAAAAAAAAAAGGAGCAGGAACGGGCGAAAUCCUGGCACGCACUCACACAUACGCGGAAUGCAGGACUCGCGGCUCCAAAAUAAAUAAACUGAGAUAAAGUGAGACGAAAGCGAAACGAAAAUAAUAAUGUGCAUAUGUAAAUAACACAGGCGUAGCCAACAACAACAAGGAUGUCAACGUAAUUGGACACGCGCGCUGGGGAAAUGCGGAGAAUGGGUAGAAAUUGCGAGGUGGUUUUGGGGAAAAUGUCCCUGAUUGCCGCCCCGUCCAUCAGAGCGUGUGUUUACUGUAAAUAGACAAAGUGGCGGCCGCACAGGACACGGACUCGUAACCGUCUCGCUGGCUCGUUGGCUCGCUGGGUCCGAAAUGACAUCACAAUUUCUUAUUAUGCUGCUGUCAUAUGUGUUUAAUUUGUGCCGCCCAAAUGAAUUUCCGGUUUUGCUGAAUUCAAUUAAAUUGAAUUUCAAUUAAAUCGCCGCAGUUGAAUGUGACAUCAGUACUAGUCUUUCACAUUGGCAGGGAUAUCCAUAUCUCUACCCAUCUAUCUAUCUAUCAAACUUUUCAAAUGUCCUGUCGUACUGGCAUUGUUUGCGCUGAGCCAUAAACAACAAAUUUCGUUGACUUUGGCAUUUAAAAUGUUAUGCGCAAUUAGGAGUGCAAGAUGAAUGUGUUGAAUGGCUGCCGGCGCAGUAAUUACAAACUCUGCACACGUGACGCACCACGCAUAAUGAAAAUCCAAAUGAAAUGGCAAUCUGCAAUCUGCAAGCAGCAAGCAGCAAGCAGCAAAACAAGCGAAAUUAUUUUGCUGAUUUACCAAAGACAAACAUAAUUGAAUUACGGAAAGAGCGCACACGGACAUGGUUAUGAACACGGACACGUAUCCGGACAAGGACUACGGUGCGGCUACGUAACAUGCUCCUUAGUGUUUGUGUGCACUCAAACAAUGCGCAUUAAAUUGCCAAUUAUUUGCUGUUUCUCCUGAUCGCAUUUAUACGUUUUUAUUGAUCCACUUUGAGUGGUGCAAAUGGGAAUGCACAACUCCACUCCCACCCCAUAGUACAUUCAAUCUACGAACCCAUGGACGGCCAUUCCCACUGCAGUACAAAUUAGAAUGGCCAGGAUAAUUGGCAGAUGCGAUUAAUCCUGAUUCGAUUAUAAAUGCAAAAACGAUGCAGUUCGGGAGGAGGGUAAAUAAACAGGAUGCUGAACAAUCAGGUGCUCGGUGAAUGGCUUAAGCAUAUUUAGGAUACUGACUUUGGCCAGAUUUGAAAUUAGUUUCACAUUCAAGAUAAAGUGCCAGUCUCAAUAAACGCUUAACUGCACUGCAUUGCUUUCUUAUAAUAAUAAAGCCGUACUUUAUCCGCUUACAUUGUUACAAAAAACAUUGGAUUUUUGUUUUGUUGCAUUUCAACGAGCAACAAUUUAUUUUAUUAGAGCUCAGCGUGGGCCAAAAAUAUCAACAAUAUAAUAUUAUUUCCAUGCCCAAACAAGUUUUUAAUAAGUUUGUGAUUUGUGGAGGGGAAAAAACUAAUCUUCGAUGCCAACGAAUAAAAGCCAUAAAUUCAAGGGAAAAAAUGGCGAAAUGGCCGCAGGUCGGAAUGAAAUAAAAAACGGCCUGAACUCCCGAUUUUCGAUCCCCUCAUCCCGCUGGCGCACUUGAGCGAUGGCCGGCGGACAUGAUUUGGAUUCGGAUUUGGGCUCGGAUACAUACAUAUAUAGUACAAACAACAGGAAAUGGGAAAACGCAGGCAGUGCCAAAUGGAAGUGGCAGGGUGGGCGUGGCGUGGCCAGGUGGGAUGCACCAUGAUUCGAUACAUUUUUGUAAUUGUUUUGCCCGGAAAAUGCGGGUGAAGCGGCAACAGCAGUUGAAUUGUUUGCCAGGGCAAACUGCAAUCAAAUCAAAAAUGGGAGUAGAAAAAAUAGAAAUUUAAUGUUUGUUUGCGUUUCAAUUCAAUGUUUGUUUGUCUGCCGCAAGGCAGUUGUUGCACACUUGUUGUGGUUGUGCUUGUCACACGUGCCGGGCAUUGAUUUAAGCGAUUAUUUUAUUUGAUUUCUAAUUAAAAAUCAUACCAGACCAUUUUUUUUUUUCGUUCAUGCCCCCCAUAAACGAGUAUGGUUGGACUUGCACUUGCUUUUAAUUAAAUGCAAAUAACAAAUAGCACAGUGCAUUGGCAUAAAUUAUGCCAAAAAGGUACGACUGUUCACGAAAGGGUGUGUGUGAGUUUGAGUGUUUGAGUUGGCCAUUAUUUAUGGGUGCAAUCAUUCACAUGAUAUUCUGCGGUUUCCCCUGCAUUUAUCACCCAACAAACUUUUAUAACACUCGCUUACCAUUGGGUGUUGCGUUAUGAUUAAUGCUUUCCGCCACGAAGGAUUGCACUUAUACGUAUAUACAUAUAUCCACACAUCCACAUCCUGCUAUCUGAAGGGCUAAAACUGCUAUAAAUUCGCUUUAAUGUGCCACUUCAGUUGGGUUACAGUUCCCAAUCAAGCGCUGGCUUAUUGAUGUCCUUCCAGACGAACUGGCAUCAAACUGUAAUUAAAUUCUCACUUUGGCCAGGUUUCGCCAAUCAAUUUCUAAGGAAAUCAGUUGCUUUAAUUAAAUUUCGAUAACUGAGCAGUUUGCACGAGCAUAAAACACGAUUUAAGGCCGCGCGAAAUGCCCACAAUGCCAACAUAGGGGUUAAAGGGGGGGUGCGAGCAUAAACAGAAAACUCAUUAAAAUCAUAAAAUGCAUUUAUGACAGCCUUGUUUGCACUGCGGGGCAAUAAAGUGGAGGCUGAGGCGUUGCUGAAAAGUGUCAAAAUCAAAACCAAGGCGCCAUCCAGUGUGUGGCUGUGGGGCUGUUUGUGUGUUUGCGCUCUCGCAUGUGAGUGUGUAUCCUGGCUGCAUCCUGCUUCUGCCCCCUUAUCCUGUGCCUCGUCCUUUGGCUUCUGCCACUGCCAGUGCCACUGCCAGUGCUUUUGCUUCUGCUUCUGCUUCUGCUGCCGUUGUCACACAAUUAUGCGUACAACAGUCCCGGGCGCUGUUGUUGUAAUUAUGUUGCCGGCUGUAAAACAAACUGCCAACAAGGACGACGAACAAGAGCCUCCAAGAAGACGAAGGAGCGCCUGCCGUUGCGCCAGGACAAAGACAACUGCGCUGGCGGGCAGGACCCAAACACGUGCACCGGAACAAAAUAUGCAGCACUUCCGCACAAAAUGUUAUAAUUUAAAUAUAUUUCCAAUUAUUUAUGUUUCUAAAAUGAAGAAACACUUCUCUUUUAUGGUUAGUAUGAAUAUGGUCCACGUAUGUCUUAUUACUCAAGUCCAACUGAACGAUAGUUUUCCGCCGAGUGUUUUGGAAUAGCAGACCGGAUGUGCAGCCACUUCGAUUAAUCAUGGCAAUCCAGAAUCUGCAGCGGAGUUGAAAUAUGAAAAGCUCGGCGGAAAAUGCGACGGCACUUUAAGAGGGGCGCUGAGCAUUUUGCAGCGACAGAGUCACUUCAAUCAGGCUCAUUCCGUGUCCUUCCUUCCAAGCCCUUCCUCCAAUGCGUUUGACAACUCCAAAGUACGCACAAAGUGAGCAGAAAGAGGGUAGACAACGUGAUAUUUGCUUGGUCAGAAGAAGGAGCCACUUCCUUGCCCAUUCAGGCUUAUCUUUAUCUCCGCCUUUGUGUACUUGGAGCUUCUUAUUACCGAAUAGUUGGGUGAAUGCCUGGCUAUCUGGCUGACCACGUUCUCGAGCUACUCCUACUGUUACUGCUACUGUUACUGCCCCUCGUAAUCCUCGUGCCCCAGCGCCAUUCAUCUUGCGCUCAACAAUUUUUCACUGCAUAACUCAGGGCGCCACGUACGCGGAGGUCCUGUCUGCGCAGGACACCCCCUAGAAGUACCCCCAAAACUUUAUCUGCAAUCAGUGGCCUGCACAAUUUCACACAUGGCCACAUGGUUCGAUACGUUUGAUUAAUGCCCUCGCACUGAGUGCAUCCUCUGACCUGAACCCAUCGAACUUCUAAACAACUGCGAGGAGCGGUUGAGGAGGAGUUGACUUUUAUUUGGUCCCGGCUUAGGGCUGACUUUGACGCUGAAUCAACGGAAUCAGAACGUGCGGGUCCCACACAUUUUCAUUUCCAUUUCCAUCUUCAUUCGAAUGCGAGUUGUUCUCGGCCCAAGCUCAACCCAUUUCGAUUUGCAUUUUCCGUUGCCAGAGCGAGUGCGAUUGCUAUUGCUAUUGGAAUUGGGAUUGGGAUUGGGAUUCCCCCAUUUUCAUUGCCGUUGCUGAUGCUGAUUCUGAUGCUGAUGCUGAUGCCGAUGCUGAUUACCAUUUCGCAUUCAUUCCUCAUCAUUUGCUCAGCAUGUCAGUCAGUCAGUCAUCCAGUUGGCUCGACUUGGCGGACUUGGCAUUCCAGCUCUCCUAUUUAGCUGAUUGUCGUCUGGCGGAGGCAGAAUCCUCCAUUGCGUACCACUCGUAGUCAAGUCCUGGCUGCGUGUGCUCAGCAUUUUUGUUGACAUAUUCAUUGGCAAACUCAAUAAUGCCGGAUUUAAAUGGUCGAUGGCGUGUAGGGCUCGCCGCCUGCAUGUGCGUGUGCCAAAUUGAUUUUGGCCAAACAUUUGCGGCGUUUGUCGCGGAAAUUGAAAAGCGUCUUCCGGUGGGAACACCGCUCAAACUUCAACUCGAAGUUUCUUUUCCUUUUCAAACUCUCUCUCUCUCUCUCAUUCUAUAUAUUUUUUGCGAUUUAAACGUGGCAUGAGAUGGCAAAAGUUGUGUAAAUUAUUUUGCCAUUGCACUUGUCAGCUCAACUUCCUUUUGGUCCUUUGUGCAUCUCUUUUGACACACUUUGACGUCAGUUGCCAGUGCGGAGCGGCUAAUUUGCAAGGAGCCAGCGUUUCCGCCAAACAGCUUCGCAAAAUUGAUGAAUAACAAGCUGCGGCACUGGAAAAACAGUAUUAGUGCAUUGAAACAACAGUUUUGCGGCAAAGUUUCUCAAGAAGUUCAUCGUAGCAACAAUAAUAUACCCAGAAGUUAAGUGGAAAGUGAAGCGCUACUAACUUAUGCAUAUAUUCCUAAAACAAGGAACUCCUUCAUCAUCUGCCAUCAUAAUUUAAUGGAUUUUGGACUCUGUCAAAGGGCAUCUUCCCGUCGACUUUGGCUUAUUUCCGGUUUUCUGAUUAAUGAAAAGUGCAAUUUGAAGUCCCUUCCUUUCGCAGCGCACUUGAAGUACAAAGAGACUCAAAGCAAAGUAGAAGACGAUUGGAAUGAGUGGUGUUGGCUAUAGUGAUGGUUACACUGAUGCGAAUGGGGCAAACUCAUCAUCAUCAUCAUCAUCAUCGGCAUCGGCAUCGCAUCGACAUCUCAUCUGGGUUCAGCUCAUCUCAGCACAUCUCAUCUCAGUGGAACGCCAGCAUCCUUGGCCACAAGCCACUUUAGAAUCCCAUCGAUUUUUCCGGCUUGGCUCUUAGCCGCGCUCGCUUUUGAGUCUUUCGGGUGUUUGCCGUUGUUGGCCGCUUUAUGCAUUUCGUAGCCACUUUGAUGACAUUACCGGGAGCGAUGGCCAAAGCUAUCACCCCAAUCCCAACCCCAACCUCAACCCCAUCCAAAGGCCAGUCUUUCCGCUCCGUCAUGGCUUAAUGGCAUUACGCCCAAGACCCCACAUUUUUUGUAUGCUGUACGCUCGCCUCGCCCUCGCACUCGCCCUCUCAACUCCAUCAAUUUCAGCAGCUUUUUACAAUAAAUUAAAUCAAUCGAUCAAGCCCCGGCAAAAACUGUGCCAAUCAAUUAGUUUCCACACACAAGCGAGCCAUAGCACCACAUAGCUGGGCAGCGUAGCAAUAAUUUUAAUGAAAUACAAAUAUAAAUGAAGCGGCCAACGAACAAUGACAGCUUCCGCAGUUGAACGACCCCCGAUAUGGUCAUCAAUCGAGAAACUUUUCACAGCGAAUUUGCUGGAAAUUAUUUCGAGCACUUGCCCGAUUAGAGACGCCAUGUUUCCAGCUGUUUAUCUAAGCCAUUUUGCGGCAACGACAUCGCCUUUGGCCAUGUGCCGGGAAUCUCAAGUAGUUUGGAUAACCUACCCUGCCCCAAGUGGGCAAAUGCAAAACAAUCCAAUAACAAAGGAGAAUUCAAGGAACCAAAGUGGACCCAUCAUUUCGGGUCUGCAAGCACCGACAUUCAGAUGCUCUUCAAAUUUCUAUCUUUCUGUUUCUAUUGUAAGAAAAUUUAAGUUUUAUCAAAGAACUUCUGAAAUUGGGGUUUUAGUUUUAAUGAAAGCUUGAUAUAUAAUAUAAUACAUAAUAUAUAUUUUUCCAACUUGUUUGGAAAGCGGUAAAAAAAAGUCGGAUUACGCAAAGCCUAAGACAAAGUAUAAAUACUCCUGAAAUGUGAGUCGGAAUCUUAUCGAGUGGCAAAAAAAUGAGAGAAGCGACAAAACGAAUGACAAAUUUUAAUGUCAAUAGCCGCAGACGUGCAAAAAAGGACGAGGCGGUGGCAGGACAUGGAUUUCGUAGGAUCGGAGCGCCAGGACCUGGGCCAUUUGCUCUUUAUCUGCCGCCGCUUUUCAUGUUCAUUUUAAUUUGUCCAAAUGUCCUUGCAGCGAGCACAAACGAUUUGUUUUCGCCUUCGCCGCUAUUGGGACGACAUUCGUUCGGUUUUCGGCCCCUUCCGGGUUUAUUUGUAUUAAUGAAAUAGACGUUUUGGGGUCAUGCUAAAGUGAUUUUUCAACGUCUGCCACAAGCAGGGGCAGAAGCAGUUGGCUGGAGGGGUGGAGUUCAGGAGGUGGGUGCACUGCCCACCCCCUUUGGCACACAUCCUUGUCCCGGUCCCCAGCUCCCUUUUGCUUAUCUCCGUUGUAGACCAUUGUUGAUGUUGUUGCUCCUCGGAGCUCGUUCCGCUUCUUUCCGUGUUUAUUUUGCCUUUGCCUUUGUCUUGGUGCCGUAACCCGGAGUCCUGCUUCCUUUCCCUUCCCUUCCCUUCCUUUCCAUUUUUUUUUUUGCAUCGGUCGAGGGAGCGAGCGAAAAUGUCGUAGCUUUUCAGCAACACUCGCAGCAAAGUGAAACUAAUGGCAGUUAGUUUUGUUAAGUCGAUAAAACUGUCAGUGAUAUGGCAGAUUGUGUGGCAGCAGCCGCAAGCUCGCUCUGCCUUCAUUUUCUAUUCUUUUCUCCACUUUUUUUUGCCACUCCCAACCUUUUGCCAUCGCUGCCUUUGUCACCUAACCCAUUUCAUGUUUUUGAUCCUGGCAGGCGAAAAAAAAAAGGAUUCGGCAACCAGAUACAUUUUAGCUGGGUUAAAAAGUUAAAUGAAGUUGCCGCAGGCAUUAAAUUUCCGUCGCCGCGAACACCAAACCGAAAUUUACACCAGCUCAUGGAGCAAAGGAACACUCAUACUCAUACUCAUACUCAUAAAGUAUGCAAAACUUAUGCACCAUCCCACCACCAGCGCCCUUUUUGGGGGCGUGGCUGUUGGACAAGUAAGUGGUAUUUUAUGUUCAUUUGCCGCGACUCGCUCUUCCUCAAUGCCAAAAUGGCAUUGUGUUUUAUGUUUUCGCCUAUGCGAGAAUGCACAUGACGGCGAUGUUGGUGUGGGUGUGGAAAGUGGCAAGAUGGCAAAGUGGCAAGAUGGCAUUGGGUGGGUUAGGAAAUGGCUGACUUAUUUCGGCGACAACCCGACCAAAAUGGCGCACAUUUUUGCGCCCGCUGCCCUGUGCAUCCUUUCCAUGCUUUCCAUCCUUUCGCAGGAGCAUGGUAAAUGACUUCGCUGCCAUGUCUUCAUCAUCGUCGGGCUUUCAGCUUAUUACUUUGGUGCGAUAACGUCCGUGCAUUCCCGUUUGCAUAGGGGAUUCUCGCAGUGCCGGGGAUUCCCCCAUGCAACUUCGCGUGUGUAUGUAUAUGUGUAUAGGUGUAUAGGUGUCCGUGUGUGCGUGGUUAGGUGGCCAGGUGGCCAGGAAUUAAUUAUCGCGUAUUGCUGGUGGCUCACGUAUCCUAAAUCAAAGCGUUUAACGUCGCUAAUCCUCUUAAUGCACGACCCCGUCGGGGAAGCACUCCAAUUUGAGACGAGCCAAAUGGUGAUCCAAAGUGCACUGUUAACAAAAAAGGUGCACUCUUGAAGCAGAUCCUAAAUUAUACAUAUAUGCAAAAUGCAAGAAUUGUUAGAGAAACUUUGGAAUAUUUAGCUAUUUGCUUCCAUUUUUAAAAGAACUUGAUUGAAAACUUUGAAAAUACAAACAAACCACAGUUGUUUCUAUCAAUGCAAUUUGUGUUUAAUCAUUUCUUAGUACCAGAACUGUAAUAUACUACUAUAUUUUUGCAGUGUCUCUAGUUUCCCACGCAGUUGGUCUGAAGUAUUAAGCAAAUUAAAAUGAAAAUCCCUGGCCAGGCGAAACCGCAGCAAAAAAGCGAAAAAUAUAUACACACAUUGGUAUAUUAUACAGCCAAGUUGCAGAAGAGCCAAGUCAACGAGACUUUUAAAAUCUCCACGGGAACAAGGGGUCCGAUAUGCGGGUCGCAGCUUGGUUGUGGUCCAAAAGGACGACACGAUGGCCAGGUCAGUUCGCUGUGAUUGGCAGGAGUCAUCAGGCAAGUUAAUUGCCCACGAUUUAGCCAAGCGGCGAAAGGAAUUCGCAGGACUUACCCAAAUGGCAACGGUCGUGAGUGGGGUCGUGACACGCGGUGCUCCUGACGUGCAAUUAAUGCCGGUUCCAGAUGACCAAGUCUGCAGCAUCAGCACCCCAGUUUCAGCCACGAAAAAUGUUUAAAUUUAAGGGGUUUAAAGAAAGCGUGGGAAAUUCAUAGUCGUUUUUAAAGCAAUUGCAAUGCUUUGGCAGAAAUAAUGAUAAAAUGGUACGGCCAUUUAUAACUUAAAUUAAAUUCGAAGUAAGCAAACAGUUUCUUAGCAACAGAAGAACCUUAUAAAAUAAAAAACUUUUGCAAAAAAAGGGAAGUUAGCAUACAAAAAUUGGUUGAGUUUUCCUCCAAGAAUUGAUUUCUUUUUACAUAGAAUAGCUCACUUGCUCUGCCUGUACUUACUUUUCAUUUUAAAUUUCUGGCCACAUAGUCAAGUCGGUGCCCCGUCGAUUGUUGUCGUGCUGAACUUAAUCCCAAGAGUGGAGCCCAUCAAUCGGAUUGAAGUCCACCUACAUCAUCUCCUGUCCCCAUUCCCCCACUCCGGCUGCCAGACCCACAUUGAUGUAGGUGAACUGGGAGCUGAGAGCCGAGAGCCGGGGGUUCUGGUCAGGACAGGAGCUGACCCUCGUUCGCCGCUGCUAAAUCUCGGUCAUUUGUGACGCUAUUACGGGGCGGACUUCGUCGGUUGCGCCCCCAAAUGAGCUUUUCCUCCUGCCAUCACUGGGAAAAAUGUAUUUGGACUGCAAUUCUGUAGCCAAGCUCUUACUUGCUAUCUCCAGUUUUGACAGACUAAUAUUCUGGGCCCAGAAAACCCUCAUAAUUUAUGUUGUCUAGAAAAACGAAUAAAAAGAAAGCAGUCUUAUAACUUUAUGUCUGUGAAUUAAUGUAAAAUUAAAACAAUAAGCCUGGAAAUGUAAGUUCAAGCUGUUUAAUUUAAUACACACGAGACAGCAUAAGGAGUUUUAAAGGACCUAGGAACCUGAUGGGUUUUCUCAGUGUUCGCCCAUAACUAUUUGUAUAUCGUUGCGAGCCAGCGACCAUUAUCCUCUAUGGGUGCGUAUUAACUUUUGCUUCCUGUCAACAUUGAAAAUUAUACGGUAGGCGGCCACACACGAUGCCACCUACAACCAAGACCAGUCUGUGAACCAAAGAACUCAGCCCAAGGAACCAUCCCAUGCCAUGGCGAUUGCCAUUCCCAUUCACAUUUUCGUUCUCAAUCUCGGAUCCCUUGCAAUUUUUGUACGCUUUGGCUUUUCUCGCAUUCAUUACGUGAGCUGGGUGGCUGAUGGCGGCAUUGAAUGGCCAGGAGGCGAGGGGGCGUGGCACCGCCCCAUGUGCCAUUAGCCCAGCAUGAGCUCCCCGUCUGUGGUGGCACUUCCCCGACUCGAAGCCAAGGAGCAUUUCAUUUAGCCCUCGUUGUUUUUUGUUGCUGUGGUUUCGGGCCAAAUAAAUCAAGAAUUUUUUACAAAUUUGUUGUCAUCAUGUUGACAUUUCCGACGUCUUUAUCGACUUGUGGACGGUGUGACAGGAGUGGUAGAAGUGGACGGUCAAAAGGCCCCGUUUGUAGCACGAUUUCCAUGCAAAAUACAUAAAGCGUGUCUGGUUCUGGAUCUGGGGAUGUUGUGCUAUGUGCGAGGUACUAUGUACUGGCUAAUGGGAAAUGUCUGUGAAUGCAGACGAAAAAAAGCGUACAAUUUUCCAGCAGAUAUUCCCGAAACUUGGCUUAGUUCGAAAUUGGUUCGCCGGCGAGCACUUGAAUAUAUUAUGAGACGUGCUCCUGAGAAGUUCGCAAAUUAUGUCAAUUACGGUGGGGGACAACAUUUUCGCAGCGAAAAUGCAGAAAACGCUAAACUACAAAACGAAAUUAUCGACUAACAAAUGCGACUGGCAGCGGGGAAAAAUGAGGGAACGCAAUCUAGGAGCGAAAAACGGAGAAAACGAAGGACAAAGUACCAGCGCCAUCCGCUUGACGUUUGUAACUUUCAUAAGAAAUUCAACACUUCCGCUGAAAGAGAACUGCAACAGUUUCCCGGCGUGGCGCAAAUUAAAAGCAAAAAAUAAAAGCGGGAACUAAAAUCCAAGAAUCAAGCGGAAGAAGGGGAGGAGCCAAGAAAGGAGCGGCAAAGGAGCUGCCGUAAAUAAAGAAUUACGUCUUAUGUGUGCUCUUGUGUGCGUAUCUAUUUGCAUUCGCCAUAAAACUCGGCGCCAUCGAGCGGCAAACGGCAAACGGCAAACGGCGCGGCAUGAACACAGGGGCAUCAUGAACGUCGGCCAAAUGACUUCCGUUUCCGCCGCUUAAGAUGGCGCGUGCAUCACAUCCCUACACAACCUUACACUCACACACACACACACACACAUUCCGGAGGCGGAGAUACCCGCAUCAUCAUCAUUUGUUUGCCCGCUCGACUGACUGCCUGCUGUGUCCACUGCUGACAUGUCGGCUGGCAUGCUGAAAAAUUGCAUCGAGUAUAAUGUAAAUCGUGUCAUUUGUCAAUGGCAGAUGGUCGCUUUUCCUGCGGACAACAACUCCGAUCCGGGAAGCGAAACCGCCUAAUGACAAUUGCCGAGCUCACGGAGUUUCUCUACUGAGAAAAACAAAGUAAUUUACCACAAGCCAUGAAUCGGCAGGGUAUUUAGUAGUGCACCCACGAAUAAACUAGUAUUCCCUUUGUAGAGACUGUGUAUUUUUUGCUCUGUACAAAAAACAGCAAAUGACUUGUAAACGUGCGAAAAUAAAAGAUUUGUGUGCGUUAGGUUGGACGUGUAUUGACAGAUCGUAAUCCUGAUCAAGAAUAUAUAUAUGUACUUUAUAGAAUCGGACAAUACUUUCCCUACCAGUUACAUACAUUUCAACAAGACAGUUUCACUUUACGAGUAACGUUUAUGUUUAUGAAAAGACGAACGCGACGUAAUCACUUAUCAAAGCAAUGUUUUGUGCACCUCAAAUGCAAAUAAUGGACUAUUUUAAUGGUUCGCAUAAAUAGUUUUCUUUGGAUGGCACAGACUCAUUCAUUUAUCAUUCUAAGAUAAAAGGAAUACUUUAAUUAGGAGAAACAAACAUACAUGCUUACACUUUCCACUGGAUUAUAAAUCAGCACGGAGUUUUCCUUUAAAUAAACUCUGUUUUAUGCCGGAGCUCUUUGCUCUGGACAGCCCAUACGCCGCGUACAUCGCGUUUAAUGACUCUUGGCUAAAAUAGUUUGCGAACAGUUGCUCCGCGCUGGCACAUUAACGUGGCCAAGGCGCAAAUAAUUCAAUAAAGCAACUUUCGGCGAGAUUAAUUAAAUAUUUCUGUCUAAUUUGACGCAAUUUAUGCAAUGCCACAGGGAGCGAACUAAAGUGGGGUGCAGAAAUGAGCAAAGUUUGCCGGCCAAACUUGCUUAGCUAUCUGCUGAAACUUUUAUUAAUUACAAAGGAUACACAUCAACAUUAGUCCAAGUGAGCUGCGGAAGUGGCUUCACAUUUGUGAAUUGAACAUGGGGCGCUUCGAGUUACUUAGCUUCCUUUACUGACUGCCUUUUUCCGUUCGUCCUUUUUUGCCUUUCCUGCAGCUGCCUCUGCCUUGGUGCCUUUGAAUGACUGAAAGCUGGCGAGGAUUAGCCACAAGGACAGCGCUCCUCAUCCCUCCCCGAAUCCCGUUGCCAUUCCAACUGAGCCGCUGCCUCAUUGAAAAGUGGCAUAACGAGCUCUUGUGCCCCGGCUUAAAAGCGCUUACAAAUUGCUACAUGAAAAUGUCUGCCCAGGGGCGGGUGGGAAAACGGGGAAAAGCGAGGAAAAUGGAAAACGUAAGGGCAGCGCAAAUGAAGCUGUGAAAGAGGGGCACCGGCGGGGGCUUUCAUCAACACUUCAGGACUAUUGCAAAGGGCAAGUUGAAAACUGAAACUGCAACUGAAGCGCUUUUCCACACACACACCCGCUGGAAAACACGGCGUAGAGUGAAAAAAACCUCCGGCUUUUUAAUGAGUCAAGUGGCCAACACGUGAAACACUCACAGUGUGCACUGAGAACAUUCAUUAUUAAUGAAGAUUUAUAUUAACUAGGGAUCUAAAUUGGAAAUAAAAAACAAAUAAUAUUUAAUGUUGCCAAAGUGGUAGCUAAUUAGUAAUUGUUUUAAAAAAUACUUGAGAUUUAAUAAUAGUCAAAAGACUUUAACAUAACGAAACACGUUUCUAAGCUCCAUUCCAAAAGCACUUGUUAAUUAUAAUUGAAAGAUAGCUUAGGUGCGAACAUUUCUUUGCAGUGCACACAUAUCUGUGUGUAAUGACGCACAUUUUGGCUGACUUUUGUGCGAAUGCAGUUGAACGAAAUAAACCGUUUUGCCUUUGAGCCGAAUUGAGUUUCAUUUGAGUUGGCCCGCUGAUUCGCUCACUCGUUUUCGGGCGUCAUGCCAACGCCGUUUGAGUUUUUGCCUGGCUUUUAUAAUUGCAUGUCGACUCUUAAUGAGCUGGGCGCCAUGCAAUUUGUACUUUCGCUGAGCAAACAGCGAAAAGCGAACAGGAGGAGGCCAAAAGCAAAGGAUUUCCCAUUUUCCUGCCACUUGAAGUUGGGUUCUGCGGAUGGGGUUUGCUUGUUUCGGAGUUGCCGGCGAAAACUCGGUGAAAAAUAGAGCGCAGAAAGUUGGGCUCUUGUUCAAAUGGAUUUCGGUCGUAAGCGAAAUAAAACCGCAAAACUCAAAAUGAAAUGAGUAAAUUGCGGUUGAAGUUGCCAAAAGCUUUAGCACUCCUGCCUUUUUUUGGAAUGUGUGGUUUUUGUGUUUUGCUUGGCCACAUCUGCGGCACUCUGCACCGAAAUAGCCUUAAAGUUUUUGCAGCUUUAAAAUGCAGAAAGAUAGGGCAAUUUAAAUAUCAAACAUGCUUUUUGGCCUGGAUUGCAUGAAUAUAUGAAUAUAUGGGAUAUCCAAAGCAAACAUAUUCUGCUUAUCAAGGCACAUUGCAAACGCUUUUUAUUUGAUCUACUAUCUGAUGCUUAGAUUUUGAAAAUAUGAAAAUUUAUAUCUUUAAAACACUCCUGUCCCGAAAAAAUUCUAUUUAUUUUCUGUGCAUACUCAGUUUGCCUGGCAACGUCGAUUCACCGGCGAAACCUGUGGAAGUGCCUUUCAUCGCAGCCGGCAACCAUAAAGAUUUCACCGAUAAUAGGAUACACAAAACGAAUGUGAAUUUUUCAGUUCUUAAUGCCAAAACGAAGUCAGAGGCUAAACAUAAGAGUCGAAGACCAUAAACAAUCCUGACAGGACGUGAAUGGGAGAAGGAGGCUCCUCCUCCUCCUGCUGGGUAAAAAGCAUGCGAGGGGUGAAUAGCUUUAAAGCUGAUGCAUAAUAUAUUGCGUAUACGCCCCAUUAUGCCCUCCGACGAACACAGACCGACACACCGGCACAUGGGGCAGACGAACAUGAACGGCAGACUUCUAAACCAUAUAUCGUAUGUAUAAUUGAAAACAAAUUUUACUGCAUGUAAUUGAGUGUGUUUGUUUGCGGGCCAGUGCCUAUAUACUCGUAUGCAGCUCGAAGUGUUUGUGUGUGUGUGUGUGUGUGGGCGGGAGUGUCUUGAUAUCGAUAACAAAUGCCACAAAUUGAAUUUAAAUCAUAUUACAUACAAACAAGCAGCACAGACACAAAACAGGCCGGCUUUCGACUGGGGCUUUGCCUUUGCCUUUGGCUGGGGAUAGGGAUUGUGAUUGGGAUUGGGAUAGGGAUAGGGCUCUUGGCCGCGCCAUCGCCAUGCUCGCUUGUUUUAUUUAUGGCUGCAACAGCAACGAUAACAAGUGCAACUGCAACAGCUACACAGAGAAAAAACAGCUGAAAUAGCGAAGUUAUUAAUAAGAUUCAGUUAGGCAAAGCUACUCGUAAAUCAAAAUAUUUGUCAGUAGAAAUAAUGUUAUAAUUGGCAAGACUAUCACUUGAUAAAUUCGUAUUUAAAUAAGCAGAUCUGCAUUUCAAUUUCAUAGUGUUAUCCACUUUAUAGAACACAAAAUCUGUUCACGGGAAUUUCAGUUCAAAAUCCGCAAUUUAAAUUGUGGUUUUCUCCGUGUACCACAGCCGAAGUCUGAGCAACGCCUUUGCUUUUGCUUUGAGCCACAUUUGAAUUCGGGUUUCGAGAUUUUCAUUUUAUGCAUUCAGUGCACACGCCCAGCCGAAACAAGGCAGCCAAUCUCCUCGAAUAUCCUUCGAAGGACUCCGCCUUCGCCUCUGACUCCGAUUCCGACUCGCCGUCCUCUUAAUUGCCAGCUCUGCAUUGGGAUGCCAUAAAUUUAUGCAUUGCAUUCUGGCAGCAGCAAUACGUAUUGCACCGCCACCGCCACCGCCACUGCCACUGCCAUAGAAAUUGGCUCAGAAUCUGACAAUGGCACCCAAAGCGAGUCCUUCCGGAGGACAUCGUCCAGACGGCCUCCGUCUCCGGCCGUAAAUAAAUGUUUGAUAAGCAGUCAAUAUGAUUUGAUGGGGGAAAAGCAAUUAAAGUCGAUCGCUUAAAACGAAAUUUAAAUGCUGUCAAAAUAAGAAAGUCCCCCGAUAGAAUACAUAGAUAUUUACCCAACAAUUUGCUCAGACAAACAGUCUUUGCAUCUCAGGGGCAUCUUUGCCAGAAAUCGAACUGUGAACUGCAAACUGUGAAGCUCGCAAAAAUCCAUGUGAUGUGCAAAUAAACGGCCACUAAGUUAUGGGCUCAAGUCAAUUCCGACACUCGAUGUCGAGGUGUCCAUGCGAGCUGGCACGACCCAAUAUCUGGGAGCCGAAUGGAGUUGGACUUAGUCCUUAGUCCUUUUGCUUAGAGGAACGUGUUUUCGCCUGGCUGGGGAACGUGACGCACGUGCGUGCAAAAAUGCAAAGGACCAAAACUCUGUGAGGUGCACUUCGUAUUGACGUUAACAUUUUGCUCGGCACUUGUAACGUGGUGCAGUGCAAAAUACGUACGAAGCUGAAAAAUGAAACGCAAAACUGAAAGGAGUAAAUACCAGGCGCAAACUACAACUGCACAGGGAGAAAAGUUGGGAUCGAAUAGUGAUAGAAUUAGAAGAAAUUAUUUAUAAACUCUUGAAGUUACGAAAAAUUCGGAGUAUGAAGAAGAUAUUAAAGAACAAUUGGAAUAAAUAACUAUAAAGAAAACUACUAUUGUUGCAUAUUUUCCCUUGCGCAACUUACCGACUUACAUUCCAUAAACCAAUCCACAUGCCACUGCCUUAUUAUUUUGACGCCGAAAACACCCUUAAUUAUAGAUACUAUAAUCACUUAUUAAACGACCGACAAAACACGCACAAUACCUGUUAUUACUGCGAUCAACUAAACUGGCAAUCGGGAACCGGAAUGGCCACGUAUUUUCUCUCGGUUCGAGCAGGACAAAUAAGCAGAUUGCCACGGCAAUCGCAGGCAAUGAAGCGUGUCCUGCAAGGACCCACACCUUUCGGUUCAGGCAACAGCUCACUCCCAACCUGGCCGGAAACUACUCCCUGCACCACGUGCACCCUGCACCCGUACAUCAUGUCCGGGGCAUUGUUGCUGCUCCUGCACGCGCCGCACGAUUUUGCAAAUAAAUACAAAUAACUUUGAUUUUGUGCCCCUUCGGAGGGGCGGGACAUGCCCCCCAGGCCACCAGUCCCCCGGCCCCCCAGACAGCCCAAUCGCAGUCGAAAUCCCUGUCCCAAUCCCCGAGCGUGUGACGUUCAACAGAAGCAUUCAAAUUAAACUUUAUUUGCCCUCCCCGUGCCUUUGGGCGUCUCUGGGCUUUCUGCUUAAAAUUGCAGAUUGCAGGCUUGAUCACAUUGCUUGCAAAUGAACGUUGGCACGGGAGGAGCAGGAGUAGCGAAAGGAGCAGGUCCUGGAACCAGGACCUCCAGCAGCAGUAGCAGUAGCAGCAGCAGGAGCAGUCAGACAAACACAUGAAACGUGCUGUGCAUGCAAUAAAGGAGAUUUUUUGUGGGAUUUCCUGCACUGAUACCAGCCAACGGCACAAUAUGCUCCAUAAAUUGCCUUUGGCCUCUGACUCAAUACUCGUUUAUAUGUAUACCUUCACAUGGAUAUUUCAGGAGCCACCCCAGACAAUAGUUUAUACUUGUCUAUGAUUUAGUUUUGGCGCUCUAAAGGGGAUGCAGCUGGAAAGGACACCCUUUCUUUCUAUACCCUAACCCAGCUGACCAAAAUAAUAAUAAGCAUGCGCAGAGCAAUUAUGCGAAACUACUUCUAAUUGCAUUUGGCGGCGCUGAAUUUAAGAACUUUUGCAGGAGUUACAAACUACAAGCCACUUGCGUUUUACAGCUUUUUCUAGGACUCACAUUAGAGAGACACAGAUUCGACCUGUUUAUACUUAAUAAAAAAAAGGAUUUCCUUGUCUGAUAUAUAGCUUGAAUUAAUUUACUUUAAACAAAAGUUAGUUGUGCAAACUCAUGAUGAAAGUUCAGCAAAAGUAUUUUUAUUUCAUACGAGCUUUUUCGGUUUUUGUACAAGCACCUAUGUAACAGUGUAAAUCCGUCAAGGAUACAAAUAAAUUUGUAUCAGAAAAUUCAAACGAAAUUUAAUUUAAGUAUUUUACAAUUAGGGAAAACACUCUUCCUCGAAAUACCGUAAGUAACCAACUCCAGAUGGAUCCUUUGUUUAGUUUUCCAGGGUAACGGAAGCAAUAAAGCGACUCCUCCGCUUGGUUAGGUUAUUAUUAUUGUUUGUUGUUUCGUUUUGGUGUUCCCUUUUGUUUGUAAUGUGAAAAUAAUCCUCGUGAAAGUUUUGUUGUGCGGGAAAAUCAAAGUAUUAGCAACUCGUUGCCUUGCUCCUUCUGGCUGAGACUCAGGAUUCAGACUCAGGCUUCGGCAACUUCCGUUGGGCGCCGUCAUGGCCACGUGAGCCCAGAAAUAGAAAACAUGGCCAACACGGCAGGAGCAGCAGGGCUCCACAGUGCAGCUAAAAAAGUUAAUAUUGUUUUUUAGUUAUUUUUUUAAGUGCUCAAUAACGUUCUACUUAGGUAUUGCAUUGAAAACAUGCUGUUUGAGUGCUUAGAUUGGGAUGUAAAUGUUGUGGUAGUUGUAAAAUUAAUUCCUUGAAGAUCCUAAUUAUUUUAACUAAUUUCGAGUGCUAUUUUUGUGGCCCAGCCUGUGAGCCGUGGGUGUCCUGAACGUGAACGUGAACUUUUCACGUGCGCAAUUUGUGUUCGUAUUUAGUUUUCCUCUUUCUGCGUUCGCCAGAAUGUGUGCUGUUUUAUUCAUAUAUAGUACAUUAUUCGCCCCGACCUUCUGCACUGGGCGCUGGGUGCUGGGUUCUGGGAAGGAACUACCCUUGUCCUAGCCGAACUCAACUCAAAUUAUAUUUUUAUGAGUGGGGCCAAGUUACGGCACUUAAUGAUGUUGCUUAGCAAAUUGAAGCAACUAAACACAAACAUAAUUGAAACAAUUUUCUCAUUAUAAUGACGAUGACGAUGAUGGUGAUGGCGAAGGCGAUGGCGAAUAGUGGGUAGAAACUCGGGCAGUUUUCCAGGUUCCUUUGAAGGAAAUGGAAAAAGGGAAAGGCGGCGAAGGCGGUGGAGCAGGUGCCGUUGACGCAAAUUGUUUGGCUGCGAUCCUGUCAAGGAGCUCCAGGUAAACAAAGAGCGCGCGCCCAAUGUCAACUAAAUAUGCGUCGUUCGGUGUGAGGAAGAUGAAGUGGGCGCCAGGAAGUCCUGGCAAAAGUUAAGCGCUCAAAUAAAAUAAAGGAAAAUGGCAAAAAGUUAGAUAGUGCGGGGCGGGCAGGCGGCUGCUAGGGUACAGGUACUCAGCCUAUCGCAGGAAGUGCAGCCAGCGCCGGAAGUUGUAACAAGUUAAUGGCAGUUUUUCAAGAAGCCAACGACUGUCAGGUGCACUGCGAUCCGAGGAUGCAGGGCCAACUGGGACAACUGGGCGCAGUGGGACAACUGAAGCAGCAGCAUUUAGCCGGAGGAACAGGAACUCCAGAUGCAGGACUAAGUGCAUUCAAGUUGGCACUCAAGUGCCGCCAAAGUGCCAGUCGACGUGGCCUAAUAAAGUUGUUUAGCCGGGUCUUGGCGGAAUUAAGUGGCUGCCUUCUGGCCUCCUGUCCUCCAGAUGCUGUCGCCCUGGGAACUCAAGCCCACUCGCGACUCCUUCAGCCCCUUCUGCUCCUUCCCGUUUACACACACACUUAUUUUAAUACUCUGCGCCUUUGUGCUCGUCAUUCCAUUGUAUUUGUUUGGCAUUGUGUGCCCGGGCCAUUAGCAGCUCAAUUUACAAAACGUCGACUCGACUCCUUUAAGCGCCGUCUAUCUGCCGCAAAGCUAUCGGCCCAAAACAAUAUUUGGCAUUGCGGGCGUUCCUUCCCGCAUUGUUUUUGCAGCCCCAUCCUCUCUUGGCUAAAAGCACUGGGCGACAAGUGGACGCCUAAUGGACCGGCGGCCAACUGCAAUUCGAUACGGAUGCCCCACUGCGGAUGCGAACUUUUCUUUCUGGGGAUGCGUGGAGUUGAUGGAGUGGGUGAAGGGUGCACGGAAAGAAACAAAUACAGCUGACUUACAGAAAACAAAUUCUUUGCACAGAAUGUAAUUAAUAAACACUUAAGCAAACUGUGUUAAGAUGUAGGUUUCAGUCACAGGAAAUUGAAGCCAAGCAAUUCAGUUAACACUACGCGCUUAACAGCCCGCUUUUACAGAGAACUGUAGGCCACACGAUCGGAGAUCUGGCCACGCCGGCCGCUGACAUCUGUCACAUUGCGUCCGGCAACGCUGUGUUAGUACUUCCUGUCGUUUUUUCACAAUCAGGCUGACAAAUUAAAAGGACGUGCGUGAAGAAUAGGUGAAUUCGACAAACAGCUUGCACAGAUCCUGAAGAAAUCCUACUUUCUCCUACAAAAAACAAUGGCCAAGACCAAUAGUUUAGCCAAGUUGCUUUUAUCCGGAAUCAAAGAACACGUGUGGAAAAGCUUUGCAGUGCAAAGGGCCCACGACUUUGAUACAUUGGCAAACAAGAUGGGCAUAAAAACAAAAUCAAAUUGCUUGCAAAUAGCUAAAUAAAAGGAUGGCCCAUCCCAGGACGAGGCUUCGGCUUAUUACUCCCCAAGUUGCCAGCCUGCUCGAAGCCAAACAUUUCAGCCAGGAUAUUGCCGACGAGCAAGGAACAAGUUUGCGCUUUGCAAAUUAAUAACAACAGCGAUGAGUUUUCUUGUGUGCCCCGUGAGUCCUUGUUGUUGUUUUUGUUGGUUUUCAUCCUUCAUCCAGAUAGGACAAUGUGAGUAUGUGUGUGUGAGCGGUAAGUAGGACUAAUGCCUGCAGGUUGACGUACGUGCUGUGGCAUUUUUAUUAGGCAUCUCCUUUUUUACGAGCCCCGCGCCGAAGCCCUUUUAAUGUCGAAGGCGGCGCCAGACUCCACUGGAUGUGAAAGCCAAGAGGGGGAACGUUUCAUGGCCCAUAAAAGCAACAGUCCCCCGAAAACCCCGUUCCCAGAAAUUUUGCACCCUUCCAACUCGAUACCAUACCAUCGCCAUCCUCCGGAAGAGUGAGUGUUACUUUUUGUUUAAUUUAAUUAGUCACGGCAAAGCCCACACCCCGAAUAUCAUUGUUAUUAGUACGGGCAUUUUAUUGGUCGCAUACCGUAGAGGAAUAAUAACAAUUACGCUUAAAUGAGGUCUGGCUCCGAUAAAUACCCCGUAUCCAGAUGGGUGCUCUUUAAAGUGAGCAAAAUAAAAUACAAUAAUAAAGUACUUCACUGUAAGUAGGAUAUAUUUUUGUGAUGCAUUAAGCUACUUUUAUUCGAAUACAAAUCAAUACGUUUUAUAUAAAAUUGUACCUCUUCUGAUCUUAAUUUAUUCUUGAGCUUGUAUUGUUUUUUAGAAAGUCCAGCAUACCCGAAGUGCUACCGCUUACAGCACGUGUUUGUGUGAGGGGAGAGUAUAAAAAUGUCGCUCAAUUAAAGUGUAGACACUUAAAAUUCAACACUUAAUUUCGUGCGUAACAUUAAUGCCGAGCACAUAAUUAAAUUAUGUUAAUUACGCCCAACAAAGUCUAUUAACAACACACUGCAGGAACGAGAUAGACAGUUGAGCUGCCUGAUGGAAGGAGACGGACGCAGAAGCUAAAUCCCUUUUGGGCCAAAAAGGCCAAACAUCAAAUAACUUUCAAUCAAUUCCAAUUAGGCCAGCUCCCUUUUGGCAUAAAAAUUGGAUCCAGAACGGAACGACAAUUUAAUUUCAAGUUUAAUGGCAAACAGCAAAAGAAAUAACCACAAAACGCGGGGUGAGCCGGUGGCUUUCGAACAGUUUGAUGUUGUUAUCUCGAAAGCAACCCGUUUCUGCCGUUCAGCCAUUCGGGCCACCGCAGGAAGGGAUAUUGUAAUAACAGCUGCCCGACACGAAGGACUAUCUGAUCCUUGGAAAUGCGCAAGGAGAAGCCGCAGGAGCUGGAGGAGACGAAGGAGACGCCCAGGAAAAUGGCAAGGAAAAGGCGAAGGAAACGGCCACGCAGCAAUGCAUUUUGCAGUUAGCAACAAUGGGCCAGCGGUCAAAGCCACAAUAAAAGCGUGGCGUGGCGUGGCGUGGCAUCGCUGGAUGGAACCGAAACUGAAAUGAAAACCACAAAACACGCCAAACCCGGGGUCCUGGAGUCCUGGAAGCCCAGAAAGGCACGGAUGGGAACUGAAAGGAAAGGAACGGAAGCGGGCGAAUGUCCCACGGACAUACAGCUGUCCGUCCGGACGAGUUUGAAGACGUGGCAGUAUGCUAGAGCAAACCAAGUUCAUUUUCAGUGCAAAAAUUUAAUCAAGAAGUGCAGUGCAGGGCGAGCCAAAGUGUCAGCGGUGGCAUUUCCCACUUUCCACCGCCGCAUCCUUCCCCCUGCAAUCUAUUGUCCCCCCUUGGCCGUCCGCCCCUUCAAAUGUCCUGGCGUCCAGCCCCUUGCGUGUAAUACGAGAUUCGUUCAACAUUUACAAUGAUUUUGUGAUUCUUCCGACACUUUAUGGCCCAAGCCACGCUGACAGGCUCCCCACUAAACUUGAACACCCGCACUCUAUAUCCUUUUCUAUCCUUUUAUGCUAUAUACAUACACAAGUAUAUGCAUUUGUAUGUGUAUGUGUAUGUAUACACAUCGCAUUGCUGGGUGUGUUUGACUAUAAUAGAGUGAAAGACUUUAAGCAAGCAUCGCUAUCGUCAUCGCCAUCUCCAUCGCCAUCACAUCGCCAUCUCGGUAUUAAGUUGCAAGCGAAAAAGUUCACUUGUAAUGCAGACGAGCAACGAAAAUGGAAAAUUGGAGCGCAGCUGACAAUGCUCCCAUUUACCCCCUUUCCCGAUUUCCCCAUUUCCGUCCCCACUAUUUUUCAGCAGAGUGUCAGUCGAUAUCCUGCGAUAUCCUGCGAGCAGCUUGGUCAGGUUCCCACAGGCGGGCCAGGAUGAAAAAGCUUGCGCCGCGAAGCGAAGCGAAAAUAAAUAAAUAUUUGGUUAAUUCGAUUUUUAGCUAUGAUUGUCCAAACGCAAUUCUUGUUGAUAUUCAAUAUUCAAGGGUUGCGACUGGGCAUCGCGGCUCGAAAUAAGAAUACAACUCGGCAACCAAAUCACCACUAAAGUGAACUUUUUAUCGAAACGAAAUUGGUUCAUGCGAUACUGGGCAGCAAGAACCAAAGUGAGCAUUGAAAGUUAAACGUUUUAUUAAAAUUUGCAAUUCUUGUUUAUUGUGCAAGAAUGUGACGAAUAAAUUGAAGAGGAAAUUCA